rnacentral:rRNA from 1 species
CCUACGGGCGGCAGCAGUGAGGAAUAUUGGUCAAUGGACGAGAGUCUGAACCAGCCAAGUAGCGUGAAGGAUGACUGCCCUAUGGGUUGUAAACUUCUUUUAUAUGGGAAUAAAAUGUUCCACGUGUGGGAUUUUGUAUGUACCAUAUGAAUAAGGAUCGGCUAACUCCGUGCCAGCAGCCGCGGUAAUACGGAGGAUCCGAGCGUUAUCCGGAUUUAUUGGGUUUAAAGGGAGCGUAGGUGGAUUGUUAAGUCAGUUGUGAAAGUUUGCGGCUCAACCGUAAAAUUGCAGUUGAAACUGGCAGUCUUGAGUGCAGUAGAGGGGGGCGGAAUUCGUGGUGUAGCGGUGAAAUGCUUAGAUAUCACGAAGAACUCCGAUUGCGAAGGCAGUUCACUGGACUGCAACUGACACUGAGGCUCGAAAGUGUGGGUAUCAAACAGGAUUAGAUACCCCUGUAGUC